AUUGAACGCUGGCGGCAGGCCUAACACAUGCAAGUCGAACGAGUGGCGGACGGGUGAGUAAUGUCUGGGAAACUGCCCGAUGGAGGGGGAUAACUACUGGAAACGGUGGCUAAUACGGCAUACCACCGGAGGGGCCCAGAUGGGAUUAGCUAGUAGGUGGGGUAACGGCUCACCUAGGCGACGAUCCCUAGCUGGUCUGAGAGGAUGACCAGCCACACUGGAACUGAGACACGGUCCAGACUCCUACGGGAGGCAGCAGUGGGGAAUAUUGCACAAUGGGCGCAAGCCUGAUGCAGCCAUGCCGCGUGUAUGAAGAAGGCCUUCGGGUUGUAAAGUACUUUCAGCGAGGAGGCGUUACUCGCAGAAGAAGCACCGGCUAACUCCGUGCCAGCAGCCGCGGUAAUAC
rnacentral:rRNA from 1 species